CCAUCCAGAGAACUUAGCAGAGAUGCUUUGGUGCCUUCGGGAACUCUGAGACAGGUGCUGCAUGGCUGUCGUCAGCUCGUGUUGUGAAAUGUUGGGUUAAGUCCCGCAACGAGCGCAACCCUUAUCCUUUGUUGCCAGCGGUUCGGCCGGGAACUCAAAGGAGACUGCCGGUGAUAAACCGGAGGAAGGUGGGGAUGACGUCAAGUCAUCAUGGCCCUUACGGCCAGGGCUACACACGUGCUACAAUGGCGCAUACAAAGAGAAGCGACCUCGCGAGAGCAAGCGGACCUCAUAAAGUGCGUCGUAGUCCGGAUUGGAGUCUGCAACUCGACUCCAUGAAGUCGGAAUCGCUAGUAAUCGUAGAUCAGAAUGCUACGGUGAAUACGUUCCCGGGCCUUGUACACACCGCCCGUCACACCAUGGGAGUGGGUUGCAAAAGAAGUAGGUAGCUUAACCUUCGGGAGGGCGCUUACCACUUUGUGAUUCAUGACUGGGGUGAAGUCGUAACAAGGUAGGCGUAGCGAG
rnacentral:rRNA from 1 species